GUCCAGGGAUGGGAAUCGAACCCACGACCUUCCGCUUACUGGGCAGAUGCCAUGUCCACUAGGCUACCCUGGA
rnacentral:tRNA from 1 species